rnacentral:rRNA from 1 species
AUUGAACGCUGGCGGCAUGCCUUACACAUGCAAGUCGAACGGUAACAGGUCUUCGGAUGCUGACGAGUGGCGAACGGGUGAGUAAUACAUCGGAACGUGCCUAGUAGUGGGGGAUAACUACUCGAAAGAGUGGCUAAUACCGCAUGAGAUCUACGGAUGAAAGCAGGGGAUCGCAAGACCUUGUGCUACUAGAGCGGCAGAUGGCAGAUUAGGUAGUUGGUGGGAUAAAAGCUUACCAAGCCGACGAUCUGUAGCUGGUCUGAGAGGACGAUCAGCCACACUGGGACUGAGACACGGCCCAGACUCCUACGGGAGGCAGCAGUGGGGAAUUUUGGACAAUGGGCGAAAGCCUGAUCCAGCAAUGCCGCGUGCAGGAUGAAGGCCUUCGGGUUGUAAACUGCUUUUGUACGGAACGAAAAGCCCCGGGUUAAUACCUUGGGGUCAUGAUGGUACCGUAAGAAUAAGCACCGGCUAACUACGUGCCAGCAGCCGCGGUAA